GAAAGGAUGAACUCGUUGAGCAACAGCCAACAGCAAGGCGUUCUUCCCCCGCACCCUGUGUGUGUGGGGGUGGUGGUGGUGGAGGGGGGGAGUGGAGUGGAGGGGGAGAUGCUGCGCCCUCUGGUGGCCAAGAGCCCCAGCCUUGCAAGAGGGUUUCCCCGGGCUGCCUAGGCCAGGACUCCUCAUCUGCAUGAGGUACUUGACCAGACCUUCACUUGCGGCACAACUGGAAUUUUAGAUAGCUGUUCAAAGUGUGAGAAACACAACUAACAAACAGAGAAAGGCUUCACCUGCUGUCUGUACCCUGCUCCCUUUCUUUAGAAGGUAACCAACGAUGAUGACGCCGCCACCUAGUCCUAUGGUGGGGAGAGAGGGAGGGUCCGCCUGUGGAGGGCUCUCUGUCUACACAGUACACCAUUAGACCUGUGCUACCCGCGGAAGCUCACCUAAGAACAGCCUUCAGGGAGCAGUGGCUCAGGAGUUAGGAGCAUUUGUUCUUGCAGAGGACCCAGGUUUGAUUCCCAGCACCCACGUGGUGUCUCACAAACAUGUGUAACUCUAGUUCCACAGAAUCCAAUGCCCUCUUCUGACCUUGGACACCAGGCUCAUGGUGUAAGCAAAACACUCUACACAUAAAUCUUAAAAAA